rnacentral:rRNA from 1 species
UAGGGAAUAUUGCAAAAUGGGCGAAAGCCUGAUGCAGCAACGCCGCGUGGGCGAUGAAGGCCUUCGGGUCGUAAAGCCCUUUUUGAGGGGAUGAGGAAGGACAGUACCCUCAGAAUAAGCCUCGGCUAACUACGUGCCAGCAGCCGCGGUAAAACGUAGGAGGCGAGCGUUAUCCGGAUUUACUGGGCGUAAAGCGCGUGCAGGCGGAUUGGAGAGUUGGAUGUGAAAGCUCCCGGCUUAACUGGGAGAGGUCGUUCAAUACUUCCAGUCUUGAGUGCAGUAGAGGGAAGUGGAAUUCCGGGUGUAGUGGUGAAAUGCGUAGAUAACCGGAGGAACACCAGUGGCGAAAGCGGCUUCCUGGACUGUAACUGACGCUCAGACGCGAAAGCUAGGGUAGCAAACG